rnacentral:tRNA from 1 species
GGAGCGGUAGUUCAGUUGGUUAGAAUACCGGCCUGUCACGCCGGGGGUCGCGGGUUCGCGUCCCGUCCGCUCCGCCA